rnacentral:rRNA from 1 species
CAGCUAGUUGGUAGGGUAAAAGCCUACCAAGGCGACGAUCAGUAGCUGGUUUGAGAGAACGACCAGCCACACUGGGACUGAGACACGGCCCAGACUCCUACGGGAGGCAGCAGUGGGGAAUUUUGGACAAUGGGGGCAACCCUGAUCCAGCAAUGCCGCGUGAGUGAAGAAGGCCUUCGGGUUGUAAAGCUCUUUUGUCAGGGAAGAAACGGCGGUUUCUAAUACAGAUCGCUAAUGACGGUACCUGAAGAAUAAGCACCGGCUAACUACGUGCCAGCAGCCGCGGUAAUACGUAGGGUGCAAGCGUUAAUCGGAAUUACUGGGCGUAAAGCGUGCGCAGGCGGUUAUAUAAGUCAGAUGUGAAAUCCCCGGGCUCAACCUGGGAACUGCAUUUGAGACUGUAUGGCUAGAGUGUGUCAGAGGGGGGUAGAAUUCCACGUGUAGCAGUGAAAUGCGUAAUAUGUGGAGGAAUACCGAUGGCGAAGGCAGCCCCCUGGGAUAACACUGACGCUCAUGCACGAAAGCG